rnacentral:rRNA from 2 species
CGCACNCUGGCGGCGUGCCUAAUCAUGCNAGUCUCCNCGAACUCUGGGUANUGAUUGGUGCUUGCAUCAUGAUUUACAUUUGAGUGAGUGGCGAACUGGUGAGUAACACGUGGGAAACCUGCCCAGAAGCGGGGGAUAACACCUGGAAACAGAUGCUAAUACCGCAUAACAACUUGGACCGCAUGGUCCGAGCUUGAAAGAUGGCUUCGGCUAUCACUUUUGGAUGGUCCCGCGGCGUAUUAGCUAGAUGGUGGGGUAACGGCUCACCAUGGCAAUGAUACGUAGCCGACCUGAGAGGGUAAUCGGCCACAUUGGGACUGAGACACGGCCCAAACUCCUACGGGAGGCAGCAGUAGGGAAUCUUCCACAAUGGACGAAAGUCUGAUGGAGCAACGCCGCGUGAGUGAAGAAGGGUUUCGGCUCGUAAAACUCUGUUGUUAAAGAAGAACAUAUCUGAGAGUAACUGUUCAGGUAUUGACGGUAUUUAACCAGAAAGCCACGGCUAAUCUGGNNCCCNNCCAGCCAAA